rnacentral:lncRNA from 1 species
CCUCAUCUUUUUUAGCUCUACCCCCGCUUCGACCUUUCUCCCUUCAAUCCUCCUCCCAUUCAUUCCUUCUCCUCCCCCACCCCCCCAAUCCCACUCCGCCAUCUCACACACACACACCUGGGCGCGCGCACGCAAGGAGGAAAAAGAGAAGGAAAAAAAAAUCACUCGUAAAAAAAGAAAAAAGAAAAAAGAAAAUCUGAGGGAGAGAGAGAGAGAGAGAGAGAGGGGAUGGAACCUGGUGGCGAGGGAAGGAAGUACAACAAGUACUGGGGGUUGGAGGGGGGGAGGAGGUGCGACGGGUGCAAGGGGGCGGCGGCGGUGCUGUACUGCAGGGCGGACGCGGCGUACCUGUGUGGGAGGUGCGACGCGGGGGUGCACGGGGCCAACAAGCUGGCGUCGCGGCACGAGCGGGUGUGGGUGUGCGAGGUGUGCGAGCAGGCGCCCGCCAGCGUCACCUGNCUGUGCGGGAGGUGCGACGCGGGGGUGCACGGGGCCAACAAGCUGGCGUCGCGGCACGAGCGGGUGUGGGUGUGCGAGGUGUGCGAGCAGGCGCCCGCCAGCGUCACCUGCAAGGCCGACGCCGCCGCCCUCUGCGUCGCCUGCGACGCCGACAUCCACUCCGCCAACCCCCUCGCCCGCCGCCACGACCGCGCCCCCGUCGUCCCCCUCCUCGACCCCCUCCCCCCCUCCGCCUACGCCGCCGCCGCCGCCGCGCACGACAUCCUCCUCAGGGGCGCCGACGAUUGCGACGACGAUCUCGCCGACGACGACGCCGACGACGACGAGCAGCUCGGGGCCGCCGGGGAGGACAACGGGAACGAGGCGGAGGCGGCGUCGUGGCUCCUCCCCAACCCUGGCCCUAUCCCUAAUAACCCCAACCCCAACCCUAAUCCGUGCGGCGGCGGCGGCGGCGGCAUCAUCAAGGGGUUGAUGGAGGCGCCGGAGAUCAAAUCGGUGGAGUUCUUCCUCUCGGACGUGGAUCGCUACCUCGACCUCGAGUACGCGUCCUCCGUGGACGCGCGCUUCCACCACGCGGACAGCGUCGUCCCCGUCCACGCCAGCGGAGGGAGCAGCGGGGCGAUCGAGCUCGACUUCGCCCGAUCCAAGCCCUCCUACGCCACCUACCCCGCCCAAUCCCUGAGCCACAGCGUAAUAAUUAUAACCCCCUAAAUCCGCACCUGAUUCGCUAUAUCUCUGCCCCGUUUCCCUAACCAUCAUUCUCGAUCGAAUCGCGCGCAGGUGUCGUCGUCGGAGGUCGGGGUGGUGCCGGACGGGAGCAGCAUCCGCCUCCGCCUCCGCCGUGGGGUUCGUCGUCGACCCCGGCUACGGCGUCGUCCCCUCCUUUUGAGAUCCCCAUACCCUCGCUCCGAUCCCCCUCCUCGCAGUUCCUAUUUGUACGCCAUCUUGUGUUUGAAUUUGAAUUUUGGCUCCCUCUCUCUCUCCCCCCUUCCCCACUCUCUCUCUCUCUCUCUCUCUCUCUCCGUGUAGUGCUCUCUUAAUUUUGGUGUAUAUUAUUUUCCUAUUCGCCUAUAAGUUACCCUUUACGCUUUACGGUGAACUUUUUCUCUGUUCUCUACGC